UACUGGUAUUUUUAUCAUCAAUUUAAGAAUUGUAAUUAUAUUGUGUUGGUGGCUUUAUUAUUAUAAAAUGAAACUUUUUUUAGAUGUAUACAAGACGAGUGUGGAUGUGAGAGUUGGAAGGAGUUGGAAGAGACCUCAGCAAAUGUUCCUCAAUCA